CGCACCUUGCACCUCUUGGUAUUCCGAGAGGUACAUCUGUUUGAGUGUCAUGAAUCCCUCAACCUCUACGGUUUCUUGUAGAUCGUACGAGCGUUGGAUGUUGAGCGCUGCUGUGCCUCGAGCACAGCUCGCUUCAAAUGCAUAAGCAAUCUUUGUACUACUCGGAUUGACUUGACGUGAUAAGAUCUUCGUCGAGGAUGGCAUCGCCAGCCGGAUUGUACACGAGUCGCUUCUAAACCUGCCUCUGGCAACACCUAUAAUUUAGACCUCAAAUCAGAUGGGACUACCCGCUGAACUUAA
rnacentral:misc_RNA from 1 species